CGAUAACGAACGAGACCUUAACCUGCUAAAUAGUUUGGCCAACGUUUGUUGGUCAUCAACUUCUUAGAGGGACUAUUGACUAUUAGUCAAUGGAAGUUUGAGGCAAUAACAGGUCUGUGAUGCCCUUAGAUGUUCUGGGCCGCACGCGCGCUACACUGAUCAAGUCAACGAGUUUACAACCUUGGCCGGAAGGUCUGGGUAAUCUUUUGAAACUUGAUCGUGCUGGGGAUAGUCCAUUGCAAUUAUUGGACUUCAACGAGGAAUUCCUAGUAAGCGUGAGUCAUCAGCUCGCGUUGAUUACGUCCCUGCCCUUUGUACACACCGCCCGUCGCUACUACCGAUUGAAUGGCU
rnacentral:rRNA from 1 species